GUGGCCGUAGCUCAGUUGGUAGAGCACCGGAUUGUGAUUCCGGUUGUCGCGGGUUCAAUCCCCGUCGGUCACCCCA
rnacentral:tRNA from 1 species